ensembl:lncRNA
AUGAAAAACUGCUCUUUUCUGAAAAUCACAAAUAUAGGUAAAAAUGACACUGGAGAUUAUGUUUGUAAAGUGAUUCAGGACAUACCAGUUCUGCUAGAAUAUGAGGGACAAAAAACAUACCUGAAUGUCAGUAAAGGUGAACACAGUACUGAGGCAACAACUCAAAACAUCAAUACAGAGAAUGAUAAUACAGCUGCCCCAACUCAAAUCAAUGGGACUCCUGGCCCCCCUUCAAGUCCCAUCCUGCCUCUAUCUCUGGGCCUGGCUGCUGCCAUCGGCCUGCUGACCCUCUGCUUGGCCUUCAGUGUGUGCAAGAUGAGAAACUCCUGUAAAAAAUCAGAGCGAGUGGUCAUUCACCAGACGCCACACAGUGAGGGUGAGGAACAUGAGAACAUGGAAGAAGAGGAAGGUAGCACAGGCUCCUCUCGAGGAUCCCUACAAUGGUAUCAAGUGCCUGUUUACUGGUCUUACUUUGAUCUACGGAGGGGUGAAGACCAGUGACAACCAGAAAAGAAAGACAAUCGUGAUAUACUGUUCACUGCAUUGCAUUUAGCGUUCUCUCUCUUCUUUCAUGAGAAUAUCUUUGUAAAUAGCAAAAGCAAUUUUAAUUUUCAGAUACAGUUUGAGCCCUUGAACUCUUGUUGGUGGUAACAGAUAUGAAUCCCUCUCUUUGUGGCAGCUCUGUUGAUAGGUUUAUUCUUAUUUUAAUUAUUAUUUUUAUAUGAGUCUUUUUUAAAUUAAAGUGAAGAAGUGUCAUACUGACAUACAUGGUAAACUACUUGGAUUUCAUGCCCUGACAGAUGCAAUUCAAAUAUGUAUAAAAGUAGCACACACUGCCUGCCCUGAAGUUUUCUUUGUGUCUAACUGUGAAACGUUUUAUAGUAAAGACUUUUGUGCUGUACAGAUGCCGUCUAUGCCUUUCAGCCUUCUUAGAAAUGUUUCUCAGACUUCAUUCUGACACUUUCAUACUGUGGUUUUGUUUGCCAUUUACAAUAAAAGUCUGUGAAAACCAUUGACUGUGGUACUU